GAUGAGCGCUAGCGGCAGGCCUAACACAUGCAAGUCGAGGGAUAAGCCUUCGGGCUAAGACCGGCGCACGGGUGCGUAACGCGUAUACAAUCUGCCUUUUAUCCGGGGGAUAGCCCGAAGAAAUUUGGAUUAAUACCCUAUGGUAUAAGAGCACGGCAUCGUGCACUUAUUAAAGCUACGGCGGUAAAAGAUGAGUAUGCGUUCUAUUAGCUAGUUGGAGAGGUAACGGCUCCCCAAGGCGACGAUAGAUAGGGGUUCUGAGAGGGAUGUCCCCCACACUGGUACUGAGAUACGGACCAGACUCCUACGGGAGGCAGCAGUGAGGAAUAUUGGACAAUGGUCGGAAGACUGAUCCAGCCAUGCCGCGUGCAGGAUGACGGCCUUAUGGGUUGUAAACUGCUUUUGUAAGGGAAGAAUAAGGAGUACGUGUACUUUGAUGACGGUACCUUACGAAUAAGCAUCGGCUAACUCCGU
rnacentral:rRNA from 1 species